CCUUUUCAAGUAUUUAUUUGGAUCCACAAAUCCAAUGACAUACCAUGUACAUAGUUUCUUCCAACAUUUGAUUGAGGAAUACGUUUUGUCAUCCAAUUGCCAUAUGUACCAAUAUGCAAUCAUUGCUUGAUUUAUAGACUUGAGCAUUACGAUUAUGCAUGAGGUUUCAACACAAUCCAUGUCAUGAAUUUGCUUGUAACCUUUAGCAACUAAUCUAGCUUUGUGUGUGAACACAAUUCCAUGUUUGAUGGUUUUUAUCCUUAAAACAAAUUUGCAACCAGUAGGUGUGAAACUAUUCUUGCAAAUCAAAAAAAUUUCAAUUUUGUCAUCAAAACAUUGAGUAUGUUUUAUGGCCUCUAACCGUUUAAAACAUUUGAGUCUAUAUAUGGCCUCUAACCAUUUUAGGGAAUCUGGGUUUCGUCAUAGCUUUUUUACAAGUCACAAACUCAUUAAUCUACAUGAUAAUAGUUUGACUGUAAGUUGUAGGUUUCUUCACUAUCUAUUAGAAGAAUUGCAUAGUGACCUGAACUCCAUGUUUCUUCCCUAUCUAAUAGAAGAAUCUCAUAGUUUCAGUGACUUGAACUCUAUGCCUACUAGGGUAUAGAACAUCGAUCAAACAAUAGAAUAUCAACAGCUACUUGAAAGUCCUUUGAAUAUUCUGUUCUCCUUGAAGAGAUGUCUAUUCUUUAAAGCCACUUCUAAAGUCCUUAAAGAAUACGUGUUCGGAUUUUCUAAAGAACUUCGAACAGCCUCCGCAAUGUCCGUUUAUGUUUGUUGUUCGCCUCGAAGACUUUCGAGGUCUAUUUUCUCCCACUUGUCAUUUUGGAAACGAAUCUCCAAAAGGACAUCAUUUCGAGCAAACAAACAUUACGUUCUCAAAAAUUCGUGUUAGAAACAAUACCCUUGUGUCUCAUUUGAAUAAAUCACAAUGAAACAUAUAUUUAUACUUGGGCCUUUGUUUGUUGAAUAACAAACGCUAAGCUCCCACUGAGUUUGGCAACUCUCUAGAUAUAUAUUAUGAAAAGAUAUUCUGAAAUUACUUUUCAAUAGCUUUGACGAAUUUGGUUUAGUUUGGUGGUAGUUGAGCAUUUUGUUUAGAAAUUAUAGGAAAAGUCUUUAUGAUCCAUCAUUGAUCGAAUCAAGUACUAAUUGACUUCGAUCAUUCCAACUUAGAUAUACCAUAUCUUAUGGAGCUAGAUCGUGAAAUUAAAACACAAAAUCAUUGAUGAUCAUUCUUGGUAUAAGUAAUCAACAACAUGAUCUAACCUAGAUCUUUAUGAUUUCUUGCCAAGUGGAUUUUAUACUUCUGAAUCUUUGAACUAGCCAAACAGAUUCACCUUAUAUCACAUUUGAGUAAAUAAACCUAUAUUCACUCAAAUCCAUGUGAAAUAAUAAAAUCUUUCUUUAGAUUUGAACUCUAUUGUCUAGGCGUUCUAACAAUAGUUCAUAUCUUUUGUUACUUUCAACAAGUAAGACUAGUUGUCUUAAAUUGAUCUAGAAAUCAAUCAACUUUCAAAAGUCCAUCAAAAUAGAGCUUUUGAAUGUUAACUUGUUGAUAUGGUCUAAGCAACAAUGCUAAAGGUUAGUGGAACUCAAAUCAAGAGAUUGAUUUGAACCUAGCUAGUAAAUUUUUAUUGUUAAAGAUUUGUUUGUUUUAAUCAAGCAUAUUGACUCAACCCGUAAAUGACCAUUUCAUUCAAAUAAACAAACAAACAUUGUUUUUGUUCUUCUGAAUGUGAGUCUUUCUGUGUUUGAAAACAGAAAUUUAGUAUGUUGAUUGUGGAACAAAAUAGCCAUUAAGUUCCAUCCUUGAAAGGACUUAAAACAAACUAGAUGACCCUACAACUAAUGUAGCAUUGCCAUGCUUCAUUUCCCACUUGUAGGUCAUUAGUGCAGCCUAGCUUCCAUUGUUUGAAUUAUUACCGAAGUAAGAACCUCAAGCGGUAUAUGAUACCAAGGAAGUUUGAUUGCUAGGUCACUGCUCUUUAAACAUAAACUUAUAGGUAGAAACGGAAUUGUAAGUUCCUUUCAUUUGUUCCUUUGUAUUCCUAUUUCUUGUACCCUUUCUAAUAGCCUUAAGAAUUGAAUUCUCUAGUGUUGACUUUUAUACUUUGUUUAGACAUGUCCAAUGUCACUCUAACAAAGUUCUUACCAUUUAUGUUGAAUAUUCUGUUUCAACUAGACGAUCUUACCAGAAGCUUCUAAAGUUCUCUAAGCAUCGAUCUAUUCGAAUGUCUAAGGACUAGACUCAUUCAAGAAUUAAAUGGACAAAGAUAUUAGGUUGUUAACCAUUGGUAAAGCUGAGCGUUUAAACUCAAUGGUUUAUGAUCUCAAAACUACAGUGUAUUUUGAAUUCACAAGCACCAAUUGGUUUGCCAUUCGAUUUUGAUACUCGAAAACAACCAUAAAAGUCGCUAUAACACUACUACAAAAAUAGGCAAAGAGAUCUUCAAUAAAAGACCCUUUAGUCGAGAUGACGGGUCUUUUUAAUAUAAGAGAUCUAAUUUUAAAGUUAACAGGUCUCUAAUGAAACUAAGGUCCCAUCAUUUUUCCGCUGAAAAUAGAAUGAGAGAAACCAGAGAUCCGUUAUUUGAUUUAACGGGUCUCUUUUAUGUCAAAGGGCCCACCAUUCAUUUUCGAAAAAUAAAGAGAAAUAAACUAAAGACCCGUUAAAAACAACAGGUCGCUUCCAUUAAAUGGGCCCAUGUACAUACAAAUGCGGAAAAGGGAAAGACCCUUAUUUGUGUUACCGGGUCUCUUUCCCAACUAUUUUUCAUUAAAAAAAACUCUCUCUUCUCUCCAUCUCUCUUCCUCUCCCAAUUUCCCCACCGCCCCUCUCAAUCAGAGAAACAAGAGAGUGAACUCGUCGAUGUAGGCUCUUCAGUACUGGAUAAACUCAAAGAUCUGUACCUGAAGAAGUUAUGGCAUCAACCUUCUCGAGCUACAAAAGUUCAUUGCUCUCAUAAGUUCCAGGGUUUGUUUUACCACCUCCGCCGCCGCCCAACACCGCCCUAACCAGGUAAUCCACCUCCUUUGUCGCCGCCAUACCGAUUUGUCCACUCUCGUUAAUAAUACUCAAUCGACAAUUAAGGUUGUAGAAGACUAAUUUAGAGUCUACUCUCACCGCCUCUCACCGCCUCCAAGGAAGCUCAGGUUCAAUCAGACAUUGCACUCCUGUGCAAGUAGAGGUGCAGGUACACGACUAAAGAAACUUAGGGAAGCCAUCAGUAUAUGAGGAUGAGGAGUAAUGAUCUGUAUUUAUGGCUAGUCUACUUUCUAGAAGACGUCUGAUGUAAUGAAGAACCCAUUAAAUAUGUCCAAGUAUCAAGAAAAUUUCAAGUGAAGCUAGGUGCAUAGAGAUGGAUAUAGAAGCUCUUCUUUAAAUACAACCCAACUGCAAAACCUAAUAGUGCCGGAUGACCCUGAUAACUUCCUUGACUGCUGCAAAUGGUCCGAUGUCUACUGCAAUAACUCCACAGGUCGAAUUCACAGGCUUGAUUUUGAUGAAUUUAUGUCUGGUUGUGAAGACAGUGAUAGGUUUUUGAUGCAGCGGUUCCAUUUAUGCCCUUCACUGCUUGUCCUGGAGGACUUGCUCUACCUACUUACCUAGACCUCAGUGAGAUAUCCGUCGAUCACUCCUCAGCUUGGCGUAUCCCUGUCUUCCUAGGGUCCUUCUCCCACUUAAGUUUUCUGAAGAAACUUCGUCGGGAAAUGUGGAUGAGGUUAGAGACAUGUGGGUCGCGUAUUUGCUCAAGCAAGAAGCGGAUGAAGAAAACCAAGUUGAUGGUAUGAAAAUAACUCCAUGAGUUUUGGUUCCAAAUGUUGGUAAAUUGACAUGAAUGAUUAUAUUUUGAAUUGAUUUUUGUUUUACGUUUUUGGAAAUUGCGAUGUAAAGCUUUAACGUUUAUGCAAAUUACAAUUUAUGUAAAGUUUGUGUUUUGAGCAGCACUUGUGGGAAAUAUAUUUUUUUGGUAAUGUAU